AACAAUUCAUUACAAUAUUCAUUAUAUGAACCAUAGUUACAUAAGCUGCAGUUCUUAAGCUUGUUUUCAGACUAACACCACACAAAUCGAAGAAAAAAAUAGAGAUCAUAAAAAGAUACAGAUCAAAGAAAAAAACACAAACGUACAAGCGCGAGCACACACAAAAACACAGAAAUCGAAGGCUGCUGCUUGGAAUGAAGGUUUAAAACUAAACCAAAGCCUAAAUAUUUAAGCUUUAUUAAAUCCUAAAUGCCAUAAUUCUUAUCACUUGCUGUGAUAUCAUAUCAAGCUCCUCGAAUAUGCUGAAUUUGUCGAAAAUGCUUUUGAGCCAUCAUAUUACUUUCACUUGCAGCAUCCCUAUUCUUGUCUUGUGACACAGUUCCAUCUCCAUCUGGGCUCUCAGAUUUGAUAACAAGUGAAAGAAUAUCAAGAAUACAUGCCACAAGGGGAAUUGAAGAACGAAAGCUUGUAGAUGCAGUUUUAUCUUUAUUCAUGGUAUGAAUUAAGCUGAUCAAAUUUGGUAAUACAGAAUAUAUAUGGUUUAAGAAUAUUGAAGAUGAUUGCUUUAAACUGACGGAGUAAGCCAAGAAUAAUCAGUACUUAUAAAUGGUUGAG
rnacentral:lncRNA from 1 species